GGCGGACGGGUGAGUAAUGCUUGGGAACUUGCCUUUGCGAGGGGGAUAACAGUUGGAAACGACUGCUAAUACCGCAUAAUGUCUUCGGACCAAACGGGGCUUMGGCUCCGGCGCANAGAGAGGCCCAAGUGAGAUUAGCUAGUUGGUAAGGUAAAGGCUUACCAAGGCGACGAUCUCUAGCUGUUCUGAGAGGAAGAUCAGCCACACUGGGACUGAGACACGGCCCAGACUCCUACGGGAGGCAGCAGUGGGGAAUAUUGCACAAUGGGGGAAACCCUGAUGCAGCCAUGCCGCGUGUGUGAAGAAGGCCUUCGGGUUGUAAAGCACUUUCAGUUGUGAGGAAAAGUUAGUAGUUAAUACCUGCUAGCCGUGACGUUAACAACAGAAGAAGCACCGGCUAACUCCGUGCCAGCAGCCGCGGUAAUACGGAGGGUGCGAGCGUUAAUCGGAAUUACUGGGCGUAAAGCGCACGCAGGCGGUUUGUUAAGCUAGAUGUGAAAGCCCCGGGCUCAACCUGGGAUGGUCAUUUAGAACUGGCAGACUAGAGUCUUGGAGAGGGGAGUGGAAUUCCAGGUGUAGCGGUGAAAUGCGUAGAUAUCUGGAGGAACAUCAGUGGCGAAGGCGACUCCCUGGCCAAAGACUGACGCUCAUGUGCGAAAGUGUGGGUAGCGAACAGGAUUAGAUACCCUGGUAGUCCACACCGUAAACGCUGUCUACUAGCUGUUUGUGAUUUUAAAUCGUGAGUAGCGAAGCUAACGCGCUAAGUAGACCGCCUGGGGAGUACGGCCGCAAGGUUAAAACUCAAUGAAUUGACGGGGNCCGCACAAGCGGUGGAGCAUGUGGUUUAAUUCGAU
rnacentral:rRNA from 1 species